CUCAGCUCAGCUUGCAUCUCUGGCUUUUCUGUGUCACAGUGUCCUGUAUGAGUGUUUUUCCCUUUUUUUCUAACUUAAAUUACAUUUGCACCUCGACAGAAAGCCUGAGAAAAAUCUGAGAUUAUUAAAAUUUAGUUUAAGCCAAUAUAUUACCAUGCAAGUGUCCAUAAGACUUUUUGACUUUAGUGUUUACAUCUAAUCUAAUCAAGCUCUAAUAUCUAAAGAGAAAAUAUCAUAUCGGUUUUGUAAGUGAGUUGUAUAGAAAGUCAAAUCUUUGUAGGUCAAAUGUUGGUAUUGCUUGUUGUGCUAUUUAGGCCAUGCCCACUGAUCUAUGGUCCUGUGUGCAAUAUUUUUUUUUUGUAGGACGCUCGGGGAAAGACCCGCCUCCUUCGCCUCUGAUUGGCAAGAAAAGCUGGAAACAUCAUCACACGCUCAAGCCAAACGUGGGCUGUCGGCUCUGUGCAUUGAACAGAACAUUACAGAACAUUAUCACAAUACUGAAUCUCCUAACCCUCAUCCUAAUCCUAACCCGACAGACGAUGACGUUUCACAUCCAUUAGGAAAAACAAAUUGGAGCCCAGCACUUCUAACAAUGGGUAACUCUAAGCAUCCAUCUUGGUUUUCCGACUUAACUGGAACGCGGUCAACUCGGGUAUAACGUCAUUCCCAGCUCCAACAUCCGACUUCCAAG